rnacentral:rRNA from 1 species
UACGAGGGGGCAAGCGUUGUUCGGAAUUAUUGGGCGUAAAGGGCGCGUAGGCGGUGUCGCAAGUCCGUGGUGAAAUCUCUAGGCUCAACUUAGAGACUGCCGCGGAAACUGCGGUGCUUGAGUGUGGGGAGAGGUGACGUGGACUCCGGUGUAAGCGGUGAAUGCGUAGAUAAUCGGGAGGAACACCUGUGGCGAAAGCGGCGCACUGGACCACAACUGACGCUGAGGCGCGAAAGCUAGGGGAGCAAACAGG